CUGAACAGUAUUAGUCAAAUCAUGGAAGAGUUAUGUGAGGAAGUUCUCUUACUGAAGUAUCUUCCCUUGUAAGGGAUGACAGUCAUUAGUGAAAUUCAGAAUCCUCUGGUAUUAUAAAUAAGGUGUACAUCCUCUCCUUCCCCUGAUCCCGCAGUCCCACAGCAACAGCUGAGGUUCUUUCAUGCACCUCAGCUGGGACUGAAAUGAGUGGUGCUCACAUUCAGUAGGUUGGCCAGGAUGACAAGAGCUCAAGGAUGUGUCUGGGGAGUAUAUCUUCAGGGUCUGCUGAGUGCUGUAGUGAUUGGCAGGGCUGUGGAAGAGUCCCUGAAACCUGCACAGUAGUAGCACAGGAGGAGAGGGUCUCACAGGUAAACACAGGGCCUGCUGCCAACAUGGAGGACAAGCCUGAGCCCUUUCUCAGCUCCAGCUGUUGCAAAUGCUCGUCUUUGUUCCCAUAACAGCUCCCAGAGAAGUCUCUCAGUCCUAAGACAUACGCAAGCUUCUAUAACAUUCACAGAAACAGGACUUGGGAGACUUUCAUUUUCCUGCACUAUUACUGCUGUGGAAGUAGAGUGUGACCACUAUGCUAUCACAUAGCAAGACAGCCAGAGUUUUCCCUGGAAGAGGUGAAUAAUGGUUGGAGGAGCAAACAUUGCCCCAGCAGUUGAUUGCCUCCUCUCAGCCCAGCACCCAGACCCUAUUGCUUUACACAGGGAUGGAGAGAGCCAGAAGCUCCAAAGGGGAGGUACUCUCAGCCUGUUCUACCUAGUAAUAGAGAAAAACAGAGAUGUAUACAAAACAUCUAGUUUUCUGAUGCCUAUGGAACAAUAUUUGAACAUCUUGGACCUUCUUCGGGCAACCAAGGAUGGAAGAAGUCUAUAUUAAGUACAGAUCAGAUAAGAAAUAAUAAAUGAAUUCUUGCUUUUAUUAUAUUAGUUGAA
rnacentral:lncRNA from 1 species